UAGUUAUGCACACUGCAAGUAACAAAGCAAGUUCUGGAAACAUAAAAGACAUGAUAUAUAACCAUCCCUUUGACAUGAGUCCUUCUGCUCAGAAUGUUCUAUGCUGCCUGGACCUGCCUUGCAAUUGAUCCUGGAUUUGAAACUGACAGCUGUGAACUAGCAGGAAAAUGAUGUGGCAAGAGUUUCCGUGCCUGAAGAAAAUUCAAAGAAAGUACAACACACAUUUGGAAAUUUCACAAAUUAUGAUUGUAUUGCUCAGCAAAUUUAUACAAAAGGAGAACACUCAUGUAAAAAUUGUGGAUCAAGAAGAACACUGUGAGCAUUCUGGAAGUUUUCUUUUUGACUCCUUCUCAUCAUUAUGUUCAAAGCCAAGAAGGGGAAAGACUUUGGAGGAUACACUCAUGAGAGGCUUUUACAGACUCUGGAAGGAGGCAGCAGUCAUCUUCCUGGAGACUUGAGGCCUGUGGUCAGCAGCCAACUGCUCAGAAGAAGUGAGAAGUUUCCUUUGCCAUAACUUCGUUGCUAUUGUCAUCUAACUGCCUGACAAGAGGACCACAGCAGUAGAUCCCCCUGACUUUGGACGAAAGCCUUCAGAACUCCAUCAUAGACACUGUUCCAAGACAAUCCGACUAUUCCAUCUGCUGAUGGACACAGCAAGGCAGAGGACAAAGCUGAGCAUACUUUGCAGCUCCUAUUGAAGGUUUCUGAAGAAGGCAUUGAUUGAUGGGUGUACUGGGCUCCUCCUGCUCCCCCUUUCCUGCCUACUCUGUUUGGGAAAGUUCUUCAAUACCUAAUCCCUUUUGCUGUAGGAUUUCUACAAAUAUCCUAGACUGUUGUUUUCUUGCUCCAAGAAAUACUAUAUGUUUUCUGCAUUUAAAUAUCUUUGUAAAUUUCCCCCAUCUCCCUCUCUCUAAGAUCCUGCUUUUGUUUCUUCCUCUCUGCAUUGUUAAUUUGGGACAUCUGUCAGAAACAGGGUUGCCUUUAACAUCUCUAUUUUGUUGUCCUCAUUUCUUCAAUCAUUCUACUUCCAAAACAUGGGUUUUCAUGCACUCCAUAUGAUUGAUUAUAUUUGCUUAUUUUUUUCUUUUAGGAGCAAACAACUGCUGUUGGCUGUGUCAAUUGUGAAAAUCAUUUUUGAAACUUUGAUGGCCAAAAAUGGUAAUGAGCUUCUCUUCUUAUUGGUGUAUUAAAAAUAAACACCUUGGGAAAAAUUACAAAAUUUUUCUAAAUGUAUUCAUAAAUGUAUAGCAUAUUUCCUUACAAACCAUAGAUAUAAUAUGUUAUAAGAAAAGAUAAUAAUGCCAAACCAUUAUUUACUGGCCUUCUGCAACAGAAACUAUCAUUUGGUUCCGUGAUAGUGGGUUCAUUUUGAGUCUCACUGAUUCCAGGAGCAAAUGAACUUUUGUGAUAGAUAGCCUGAAGCUGCUAUGCAGUUUAGAGCUUGUAUUUCAUUAAUUGAAUUCUUCUGGGCAUGAUAUUACUCUAUAUACUCCCUCCAAGACACCAAGCCUUUAAUUAGUUACUUACCCACAAACACAUAUUUAACAUUCUAAACUGGGAUCACUUUUUGCCAAGACCAGAUAGAGUUGUUUCAACUGUGAACUCUCACUAGUAGAAGAUUUUCCACACUAAUUCUUCUGAGCCAGAUUCAAACAGCUGGAAAACAUGUGCAGUGUCUUUUACUCUGAAAUGUGAGUAGGUCUAGCAGAAAACUCAUGCCAUUAUCUUCACAAGCAUGAUCAGAGUUUACCUUUAAUAGGAUUGCUCUAAUUUAUUUUCUCGUUUGCUUCUCACAGCAUGCCAGUAUCCAUGAGAUGCUGAGUUCAGUAUGAAUUUAAAAAUGAAAUAAAAGCUCUCUUUACUAUCUUAGAGAAGAGGAGAUGGUCUCUGAAUGCCAAAACAUCAUCUCUAAAUUGACUCAGAAAUAUGUCUUUUUCUUUCCUUUCUUCUUUCCGUCCUCAUCACAUUAUUUCAAAACUGUUUACUAUGGAAGCAAACUCACUUUGCUGAAUAUAUGAAGUAAAAUGUGAAAACAUCAAUGAAAUGAUUUAAUUAUAGAAAAAUAUAUAUACACAACUCUUGUUAACACACUAUAUACCAAAUUCCCACUCUAUGGUCACUUGCAUAGAGUGUUAGGGAGGUGUAUUUUAAAUAUACCAUAGAACCUAACACAUGAGGAGGAUAGAAACAAGAACUUUAGGAUAGCACUUUACAAAGUGGAGGAAGAGGGCAAAAUUCAUUAAUGCUUAAUAGUGUCCAAGGAUAUGGGGUAGCCUGUGGAGUGACAGCUGUAGAGAAAUGGAAAUUACAAUAGAAAUGGAAAACCCCUAUUUUCCCCCUUUUAUUGUGGCACAGCCUAUCAAUAUCCAACUUUACUUUCAUUGCCACUGUCAGAAUCACAUGAUAUUAUUGCUUUCUGCUAGAUAAUGUCAAUCUAGAAAUAUAAGGAUAAAAUGCAUUUCAACUAAUUAAUAGUUUAGCACAUAGCAAAUUAUAUCAAAUGAGCACAAGCAUCAUGAAACAACAUUUGCUAGUCAUUUCUACCUAUAUACAGUUCAUGGUUUUUAAUGAAUUUAAUGUACACUUGACGCAUAAGACUUCAUAAAGGGUUGACAUUUACCAUACUUAAAGUUCAGGAUAAUACUCCCACUGGUGUUAAGUAGGGCUGACUGGGUAGAUAAUAGCCUGAGUGUGAGCACAUUGUGUUGUCAUUCUUCCAAUUAUUAUGUGAAAACAUAACUUUGUGCAUGAUCACAAAAUCCUUUACAGGUACUUUUACUUACCUUCCACAUGUACUAAAUUAAUUUUAAUUUCCUAAUUGAUAUGUCCAUUAUUUGUGGACUUCUUUCUAUUCUUCUUGAAUCAUAGCAGAAAUUCCAUUUUGAAGCAUUUUUAAAAAGUAUCACAGAAAAGUAACAUAACAUUUUUCAGUUGAGGAAUUCAACAAUUAAUACUUGCAAAUAUUUUAAGCAAAAUAUUCACAAGGUUAUUAAUUUUUUAAAUAUACCAAAUACAUUUUUAAUUCUUUGAUGAGGUCAUUUAAUUUUAAAGAACUCCAUCCCCUCAAGAAUUUAAGCUUCCAAACUGAUUGUUCUGGUUCUGUUUAAUUUAAUGAAAGACCCUUUAUCCAACUGUCAAGGGAUCCCUGAAGAGUCCGUUUCAGUUCAUAUUUCCCUAACAAAGCUCUUAAGUACUCAAACAGGAACAUAUAAACUGAUUCCAGCAGUUAUAAGUCCCUAUUUCCAUUUAACUUACUGAUAACUUCUGAGGAGGUUGAGUGAGCUAAUGGAAAGUUAAAUAGUCCGAAAUAAGCAAACAUGGGAGCUAAAUGAUCAGGUUACUCUUUGGCUCCCCUACUCUGGGCUUCCUGCAGGAACAAAAUGCAUUACCAGAAUGUUCAGUGGGGGUUAGGUUUGUGUUUCUAGAUUUUCAAACUGGAAAAAUACUACCUACCAAACUAAACUAAUUCCUUUGAAACUGCUGCAAAUAAAAUAUACAUAUUGAAAUACUAAGAUAUUUAUUCUAAGUAAUAACUGUCAUACAACCUACAAUACUAUAUUAUACAUAGUAUGUGAUCUAUAACAUGAGAUCUUAAUUGUAAAUGGGCUCAGUCUUGUAGUGACAGCUCAUUCGAACAUCUGCUGUGAGUCAACACAAAUUUCAGGAAAUGGUUAAAAGGAGUAAAAAGAGAAUGUAAAGCCAUUUUAAUACCUUUCUCUCUUUGAUUUAUUGAAUGAAAGUGCUAGUGAUUAAGGGAUUUCAGAGUGUAUUUAGAGAACUGGGCAAAAAGUAUAAGAAAGAUUUUCCUUAUUAUAAACUAUUGGUGAUAUUUAAAAUGUUUUAUUUUAUCAAUCAAGUUUGGCAUUCUUUCAGAAGGGCUGCUUGGGAAGGGAAACAUGCAACAGGAUCGUCCAGAGACUUUGUUGUUGUUGUUGUUUAAUAUAAACAAAAUGAAACAACAUAAGGAAGACUUAUCUGAAUGGCCACCAAUCAAUCAUGUUAGAACAUCUGGAAUGAAGAAGAAUGAAGGCUGAUCAUUAAGUCUGAAACCCAGGCAAUAUUACUUAUCUGUACUGUAAUGUGCAUAAGUGUGCAUUGUGUGCUGAUAAGGCUGAUGAUUAUGAUUAUAAAUAUUCAUUUGUUUCAAUAUUUUUGUUACCUGUAAUGUCAAAAUCAGAUGAUGGAUAUAUUUUUUUAUCUGUAAAAUUAAAUGAAAUUUUUUAAAUUAUUAGUUUUACUACUUGACUCCUUGUAUUUCACGAUCAUUUGAGAAUUACUGGGGAAAAAGUAGAAGAGAAAAAGGCAGAAGUUUUAAUAUUUACUGGGCAGUACUACUUUAAUAAUCCAUAACAAGAGUUGUAUAUCUGGUGACAAAAGGAAGACAGACUGUAGUGGAGUUAAGUAAAUAGAAUCUACAAAUGGGAUUUUGGCACACAUGUGGUGAAAUACCAAAUCUAUUUUAGAAAUUUAACUCUGAGAUGUUGUUAACAUCAUUUAACAUCCAUUCAUAUAUGUGUGAAAUAUAUUGGAAUAAUUAGGGAAAGGAGGCAAUAUUUAUU